rnacentral:rRNA from 1 species
AGCGAACGCUGGCGGCAGGCCUAACACAUGCAAGUCGAACGAAGUCUUCGGACUUAGUGGCGGACGGGUGAGUAACACGUGGGAACGUGCCUUUAGGUUCGGAAUAACUCAGGGAAACUUGUGCUAAUACCGAAUGUGCCCUUCGGGGGAAAGAUUUAUCGCCUUUAGAGCGGCCCGCGUCUGAUUAGCUAGUUGGUGCGGUAAAGGCUCACCAAGGCGACGAUCAGUAGCUGGUCUGAGAGGAUGAUCAGCCACAUUGGGACUGAGACACGGCCCAAACUCCUACGGGAGGCAGCAGUGGGGAAUCUUGCGCAAUGGGCGAAAGCCUGACGCAGCCAUGCCGCGUGAAUGAUGAAGGUCUUAGGAUUGUAAAAUUCUUUCACCGGGGACGAUAAUGACGGUACCCGGAGAAGAAGCCCCGGCUAACUUCGUGCCAGCCGCCGCAGUAAAAC